UACGUAGGUGGCGAGCGUUAUCCGGAUUUAUUGGGUUUAAAGGGUGCGUAGGCGGCUGAUUAAGUCAGCGGUGAAAGGUAGCAGCUUAACUGUUUUACAUGCCGUUGAUACUGGUUAGCUUGAGUUAACAGAAGGCAGAUAGAAUUUCUGGUGUAGCGGUGAAAUGCUUAGAUACCAGGAGGAAUACCGAUUGCGAAGGCAGUCUGCUGCAGUUACACUGACGCUGAGGCACGAAAGUGCGGGGAUCAAACAGGAUUAGAUACCCUGGUAGUCCGCACAGUAAACGAUGAUUACUAGUUGUUGGCGAGAGUCAGUGACCAAGGGAAACCGAUAAGUAAUCCACCUGGGGAGUACGCCGGCAACGGUGAA
rnacentral:rRNA from 1 species